rnacentral:rRNA from 1 species
ACAAAAAGGUUUGUGGGCUUUGCCACUGUCUCUUACCCAUGUCUUUUGAGUACUUACGUUUCCUCGGUGGGCUCGCCCGCCGGUUGGACAAUUUAAACCAUUUGCAGUUGCAAUCAGCGUCUGAAAAACAUAAUAGUUACAACUUUCAACAACGGAUCUCUUGGUUCUGGCAUCGAUGAAGAACGCAGCGAAAUGCGAUAAGUAGUGUGAAUUGCAGAAUUCAGUGAAUCAUCGAAUCUUUGAACGCACAUUGCGCCCCUUGGUAUUCCAUGGGGCAUGCCUGUUCGAGCGUCAUUUGUACCUUCAAGCUCUGCUUGGUGUUGGGUGUUUGUCUCGCCUUGCGCGUAGACUCGCCUUAAAACAAUUGGCAGCCGGCGUAUUGAUUUCGGAGCGCAGUACAUCUCGCGCUUUGCACUCAUAACGACGACGUCCAAAAGUACUUUUUACACUCUUGACCUCGGAUCAGGUAGGGAUACCCGCUGAACUUAAGCAUAUCAAUAAGGCGGAGGGGAUCAUUACCUAGAGUUUGUGGGCUUUGCCACUGUCUCUUACAUGUCUUUUGAGUACUUAGUUUCUCGUGGGCUCCGCCGGUUGGACAAUUUAAACAUUUGCAGUUGCAAUCAGCGUCUGAAAAACAUAAUAGUUACAACUUUCACAACGGAUCUCUUGGUUCUGGCAUGAUGAAGAAGCGCGAAAUGGAUAAGUGUGUGAAAUUGCAGAAUUCGUGAAAUCAUCAAUCUUUGAAGCUGGCCUUGGUAUUCAUGGGGCAUGCUGUUCAGGUCAUUUGUACUUCAGCUCUGCUUGGUGUUGGGUGUUUGUCUGCCUUGCGCUAAAUCCUUAAAACAUUGCGCGGCGUAUUGAUUUGGAGCAGUAAUCUUCGCUUUGCACUCUAAGAAGACUCAAAGUACUUUUUUACACUCUUGACUCCGAUCAGUAGGGGAUUACCGCCUGCACUUUAUGCUAUCAUUAGCGGGAGGGAGAAG